GACGAACGCUGGCGGCGUGCUUAACACAUGCAAGUCGAACGGAAAGGCCCUGCUUUUGUGGGGUGCUCGAGUGGCGAACGGGUGAGUAACACGUGAGUAACCUGCCCUUGACUUUGGGAUAACUUCAGGAAACUGGGGCUAAUACCGGAUAGGAGCUCCUGCUGCAUGGUGGGGGUUGGAAAGUUUCGGCGGUUGGGGAUGGACUCGCGGCUUAUCAGCUUGUUGGUGGGGUAGUGGCUUACCAAGGCUUUGACGGGUAGCCGGCCUGAGAGGGUGACCGGCCACAUUGGGACGGAGAUACGGCCCAGACUCCUACGGGAGGCAGCAGUGGGGAAUAUUGCACAAUGGGCGGAAGCCUGAUGCAGCAACGCCGCGUGCGGGAUGACGGCCUUCGGGUGGUAAACCGCUUUCGCCUGUGACGAAGCGUGAGGGACGGUAAUGGGUAAAGAAACACCGGCGAACUACGU
rnacentral:rRNA from 1 species